ACGUUUCAUCUCACAGCUCAUUCACAUCCACCCAUCAAUAGGAAGAAAAAUAAUCGAACUCCUCCUGUCUUUGCGGCUCAUGACAGCGGGGCUCAGUGUUUAACACAGUCGGCUCUGGCCUCAGAGUGUCGGUGUUUGAUGACCCAGCUGUGCUGUGUCCACGGAUCUUCAUCCUCACUGCUGUAGUUUGUGUGGUUUUAGCGCAGAAACAUGCAGAAAAGAAGGAAGCCAGAGCCCAUCCAACUCAACCCGAUACCGGACGGAAACGCCAUCAACGGUACCGGAGCCACAGAUGAAGAGAAAGGCAGCAGUGUGUGCAGUAGCUGUAGUCCCUCCUCCGUUCUGUGUGGAGUGUGUUUCAGGCAGCUUCUCCACUCAAUAUCUCCGUCCUCCUCCACCUCCAGCUCUUGUCGUCAAAACGCCCACGCCGCCCACGGCCUGCUCUAACUCAGAACCUUGUCUCCAUGGAUAUGCAGGCCUGUUGUCAAAAAUAAAAACACCUAACACUCUCUUUUCUGAUUGUUGAAGCAGCAGAGCACAUGACCCUGCUACUGCGGUAUGAUUUAAAAUCCCAACGGAAAAAAAAUAUGCAUGUUGAAAAAUGUCUUUUUUUUAAAAAAAAAAAAAAGUAGAUUAAGUCAUUCAAAAAGCAAGUACUCCGAAAUACUGAUUCCUGGAAACGACUUCCUUUCUUAUCUUUCUUAUCAGAUGAAAACAAUGUUGUUGUUGCACAACACAUUUGGUCAUACUUUUUUUAAAAAGUUUUUUCAGCAUGAUGUUGGAUAGAAACAAACAACCAAUAAGAACACCCAUCUCUCUCUCAAUCAUCUACAAUUGGUUUAAACCGACCAUGACUCAAGACAUGAACAGGCUGAUGUCUGACACCAUGGAUGACCUCAUGUUUUACAGGAAGAACACCAAUACUUUAGUAACACACACACAUCUGUGUAAACUAACCUUCAACAAUGCUGACGCACCGAUAGUCACACGUUUUUGUCCUGUCGUUAUCGGAAGAACAAACUUGGAGGCGCUGCAGAAAAAGCUGGAGGAGCUGGAAUUAGAUGAGCAGCAGCGAAUCCGCCUGGAAGCCUUUUUGACCCAGAAGCAGAAGGUGGGAGAGCUGAAGGACGAUGACUUUGAGAAGAUCUGUGAGCUGGGCGCAGGCAACGGAGGGGUGGUCUUCAAGGUCUCCCAUAGGCCCUCGGGUCUGAUUAUGGCGAGGAAGCUGAUUCACCUGGAGAUCAAGCCUGCCAUCAGGAACCAGAUCAUCAGAGAGCUGCAGGUGCUUCACGAGUGUAACUCCCCCUACAUUGUGGGUUUUUACGGAGCUUUCUACAGUGAUGGAGAAAUCAGCAUCUGCAUGGAGCACAUGGAUGGUGGCUCCCUGGAUCAGUCGCUGAAGAAAGCAGGCAAGAUCCCAGAGCAGAUCCUUGGCAAAGUCAGCAUUGCUGUCAUUAAAGGACUUUCCUACCUGAGGGAGAAACACAAGAUCAUGCACAGAGACGUCAAGCCGUCCAACAUCCUCGUGAAUUCCCGAGGUGAGAUUAAGCUGUGUGACUUUGGAGUGAGUGGGCAGCUCAUCGACUCCAUGGCCAACUCCUUUGUGGGCACACGCUCGUACAUGUCUCCUGAGCGUUUGCAGGGCACUCAUUACUCUGUUCAGUCAGACAUCUGGAGCAUGGGCCUGUCCCUGGUUGAAAUGGCCAUUGGUCGCUUCCCAAUUCCACCACCUGAUGCUAAAGAACUAGAAAAGAUUUUCGGCUGUCCAAUGGAGGGAGACGCUGCCUCGAGUGAUGUCUCCCCCAAACCAAGGCCUCCUGGACGACCAAGCAGCACAUACGGCCCAGACAGCAGACCACCAAUGGCUAUAUUUGAACUGCUUGAUUAUAUUGUAAAUGAGCCUCCACCUAAACUACCUGGGAUAUUUAGCCCCGAGUUCCAAGACUUUGUGAACAAGUGUUUGAUUAAAAACCCAGCAGAGAGGGCCGACCUCAAACAGUUAAUGGUUCACAAUUUUAUCAGGCAGUCAGAGGCAGAGCAGGUGGACUUUGCUGGCUGGUUGUGCAGCACCAUCGGUCUUAAUAAGCCUGGGACACCCACCCACGGAAAUGCAAUCUAAUCCCUCAAAUGCAACACUUCAAGUCCUCUUUAGGGGACCAGUAUUGGCUAACUGUCUGUUUAUUUAAGAUACUCUGCAAGUUAAGUUGUACAAUCAAGUUAUAUAUAUAUAUAUAUAUAUAAUCUACAUGCCAAGUGAAAUUAAUGUGUCAAACAUUUAGGCAAAGUUACAAGCCUGUAUUAAAAAGCCAUGUUUUUCUAAAAUUAUUUAACUAAAAGAAACCCUUUGUGUUUGAUAUUCCCCUAACCCCAAGAAUGAGGUGAAAAUGAUAAUGUGUGAAAUAAAUAUUUUCAAUGAGA